UAAGGAAUAUUGGUCAAUGGACGGAAGUCUGAACCAGCCAUGCCGCGUGCAGGAAGACGGUCCUCUGGAUUGUAAACUGCUUUUGUUAGGGAAGAAACUUCCGUACGUGUACGGGACUGACGGUACCUAAAGAAUAAGGAUCGGCUAACUCCGUGCCAGCAGCCGCGGUAAUACGGAGGAUCCAAGCGUUAUCCGGAUUUAUUGGGUUUAAAGGGUGCGUAGGCGGCGUUGUAAGUCAGUGGUGAAAGUUUGCAGCUUAACUGUAAAAUUGCCAUUGAUACUGCAGUGCUUGAGUAUAGAUGAGGUGGGCGGAAUGUGUCAUGUAGCGGUGAAAUGCAUAGAUAUGACACAGAACACCGAUUGCGAAGGCAGCUCACUAAACUAU
rnacentral:rRNA from 1 species